UGAAUUUUAAGUUAAAUAAACUAGAAAUCUUCCAAAUUUCCAAUAAGUUCUCUUAAAUUCAA
rnacentral:tRNA from 1 species